UACGUAGGGUGCGAGCGUUGUCCGGAAUUAUUGGGCGUAAAGGGCUCGUAGGCGGUUUGUCGCGUCGGGAGUGAAAACUCAGGGCUUAACCUCGAGCCUGCUUCCCGAUACGGGGCAGACUAGAGGUAUGCAGGGGAGAACGGAAGUUCCUGGUGUAGCGGUGAAAUGCGCAGAUAUCAGGAGGAACACCGGUGGCGAAGGCGGUUCUCUGGGCAUUACCUGACGCUGAGGAGCGAAAGUGUGGGGAGCGAACAGG
rnacentral:rRNA from 1 species